rnacentral:rRNA from 1 species
AGCAGCCGCGGUAAUUCCAGCUCCAAUAGCGUAUAUUAAAGUUGUUGCAGUUAAAAAGCUCGUAGUUGAAUUUCGGAAUCUGUCCGUUGGUCGGGCUUAACUGUCCGUACUGAUGUGAUGGGUUCUUACCUUCUGAAUAACCAGCAUGUCAUUAAUUUGGUGUGUUGGGGAAGCAGGACUAUUACCUUGAAAAAAUUAGAGUGCUCAAAGCAGGCUAGUGCCUGAAUACAUUAGCAUGGAAUAAUAAAAUAGGACGGCAUGGUUCUAUUUUGUUGGUUUCUAGGAUCACCGUAAUGAUUAAUAGGGAUAGUUGGGGGCAUUAGUAUUCAAUUGUCAGAGGUGAAAUUCUUGGAUUUAUUGAAGACUAACUUCUGCGAAAGCAUUUGCCAAGGAUGUUUUCAUUAAUCAAGAACGAAAGUUAGGGGAUCGAAGACGAUCAGAUACCGUCGUAGUCUUAACCAUAAACUAUGCCGACUAGGGAUCGGACGAUGUUAAUUUAUAAUGACUCGUUCGCGUACCG